CCUACGGGUGGCAGCAGUGAGGAAUAUUGGGCAAUGGGCUUACGCCUGAACCAGCCAAGUCGCGUGAGGGAAGACUGCCCUAUGGGUUGUAAACCUCUUUUGUCAGGGAGCAACGCCGGCUACGUGUAGCCGGACUGAGAGUACCGGAAGAAAAAGCAUCGGCUAACUCCGUGCCAGCAGCCGCGGUAAUACGGAGGAUGCGAGAGUUAGCCGGAUUUAUUGGGUUUAAAGGGUUCGUCGGCGGAAUGCCAAGUCAGGGGUAAAAUCGCGGGGCUCACCCUCGCUCAGCCGUUGAAACUGGCGUUAUUGCGUGGGCGAGAAGUAUGCGGAAUGCGUGGUGUAGCGGUGAAAUG
rnacentral:rRNA from 1 species